UUCCGGUUGAUCCUGCCGGACCUUACUGCUAUCGGGAUGAGAUUAAGCCAUGCAAGUCGUGCGUUCUUAAGCUAUGUUGAGAGCGCGGCGAACUGCUCCGUAACACGUAGUUAACCUACCCUUGGGAUGGGGAUAACCCCGGGAAACUGGGAUUAAUACCCAAUAGAUGAUUAUACCUGGAAUGGCUUAUCAUCGAAAGAGUCUGGAAACAUGCUUCCAGCGUCGCCCAAGGAUGGGACUGCGUCCCAUCAGGUUGUUGGUGGGGUAACGGCUCACCAAGCCUAUAACCGGUACGGGCCCUGAGAGGGGGAGCCCGGAGAUGGAAACUGAGAAAAUGUUCCAGGCCCUACGGGGUGCAGCAGGCGCGAAACCUCCACAAUGCGCGAAAGCGUGAUGGGGUUAUCCCCGAGUGCCGUCCGAUGAGGAUGGCUUUUCAUCGGUGUAAGGAUCCGAUGGAAUAAAGGGGGGGCAAGACUGGUGUCAGCCGCCGCGGUAAUACCAGCCCCCUGAGUGGUAGGGACGAUUAUUUGGCCUAAAGCGUUCGUAGCCGGCUUAGCAAGUCUUUUGUUAAAUCCAGCGAUUCAAUCGUUGGGCCGCAAAAGAUACUGUUAUGCCAGAGGACGGGAGAGGUCGACGGUAGUCCAGGGGUAGGGGUGAGAUCCCUAUAAUCCUUGGAGGACCACCAGUGGCGAAGGCGGUCGACUAGAACGUGCCUGACGGUGAGGGACGAAAGCUGGGGGAGCGAACCGGAUUAGAUACGCGGGUAGUCCCAGCCGUAAACGAUGCGGGCUAGGUGUUGGGGCAGCCACGAGCUGCUCCAGUGCCGCAGAGAAGUUGUUAAGGCCCGCCGCUGGGGAGUACGGCCGCAAGGCCGAAACUUAAGGAAUUGCCGGGGAGCAGCACAAGGGUGAGCUGCCGUUAAUUGAUCACGCC
rnacentral:rRNA from 1 species